rnacentral:rRNA from 1 species
CUAAUACAUGCAAGUCGAACGCUUCUUUUCCACCGGAGCUUGCUCCACCGGAAAAAGAAGAGUGGCGAACGGGUGAGUAACACGUGGGUAACCUGCCCAUCAGAAGGGGAUAACACUUGGAAACAGGUGCUAAUACCGUAUAACAAUCAAAACCGCAUGGUUUUGAUUUGAAAGGCGCUUUCGGGUGUCGCUGAUGGAUGGACCCGCGGUGCAUUAGCUAGUUGGUGAGGUAACGGCUCACCAAGGCCACGAUGCAUAGCCGACCUGAGAGGGUGAUCGGCCACAUUGGGACUGAGACACGGCCCAAACUCCUACGGGAGGCAGCAGUAGGGAAUCUUCGGCAAUGGACGAAAGUCUGACCGAGCAACGCCGCGUGAGUGAAGAAGGUUUUCGGAUCGUAAAACUCUGUUGUUAGAGAAGAACAAGGAUGAGAGUAACUGUUCAUCCCUUGACGGUAUCUAACCAGAAAGCCACGGCUAACUACGUGCCAGCAGCCGCGGUAAUACGUAGGUGGCAAGCGUUGUCCGGAUUUAUUGGGCGUAAAGCGAGCGCAGGCGGUUUCUUAAGUCUGAUGUGAAAGCCCCCGGCUCAACCGGGGAGGGUCAUUGGAAACUGGGAGACUUGAGUGCAGAAGAGGAGAGUGGAAUUCCAUGUGUAGCGGUGAAAUGCGUAGAUAUAUGGAGGAACACCAGUGGCGAAGGCGGCUCUCUGGUCUG